AUUGAACGCUGGCGGCAGGCCUAACACAUGCAAGUCGAGCGAGCGGCGGACGGGUGAGUAAUGUAUGGGGACUGCCCGAUCGAGGGGGUUAACUUCUGGAAACGGUGGCUAAUACCGCAUACUCUCGGAUAACCCAUAUGGGAUUAGCUAUUAGGUGGGGUAAAGGCUCACCUAGGCGACGAUCUCUAGCUGGUCUGAGAGGAGGAUAAGCCACACUGGGACGGAGACACGACCAAGACUCCUGCGGAGGGAGCAGUGGGGAAUGUGACACAGUGGGGGCGAGCCUGAUGCAGCCAGGGCGAGUGUAUGAAGGAGGCCUUAGGGUGGGAAAGUACUUGCAGCGGGGAGGCGUUACCCGCAGAAGAAGCACCGGCUAACUCCGUGCCAGCAGCCGCGGUAAUAC
rnacentral:rRNA from 1 species